GUCGACGUACUUCAUAGGAUCAUUUCUAUAGGUCACGUCCCUCUUUGACUCUUCAAAAGAGCCACUGAAUCCAACUUGGUUGAUGAGUAAGAUACCCUUAUACCCUCAAAGUGAGAAUAUAUUUAGCUUGUCCGUGAUCCUAAGCGGUCCGGUCAUCUAUUUAUUGCCUUCGUUAUAAUGCCGGUUUUCAACUGGCAUUUUGAAGGAGCGAUGAUCUUUACCCAUUCUUAAAACUUCUUCGGUUGUUUUAACUAUGGGUGGGUAUAAGUGGCUGUCUGACAAGU
rfam:Pichia sorbitophila strain CBS 7064 chromosome N complete sequence.